UUCCUACGGGGGGCAGCAGUGGGGAAUAUUGCACAAUGGGGGGAACCCUGAUGCAGCGACGCCGCGUGAGCGAUGAAGUAUUUCGGUAUGUAAAGCUCUAUCAGCAGGGAAGAAAAUGACGGUACCUGACUAAGAAGCCCCGGCUAACUACGUGCCAGCAGCCGCGGUAAUACGUAGGGGGCAAGCGUUAUCCGGAUUUACUGGGUGUAAAGGGAGCGUAGACGGCUGUGCAAGUCUGGAGUGAAAUGCCGGGGCCCAACCCCGGAACUGCUCUGGAGACUGUGAAGCUGGAGUGCAGGAGAGGU
rnacentral:rRNA from 1 species